rnacentral:rRNA from 1 species
CAGUAGCCGCGGUAAUACGGAGGGUGCGAGCGUUAAUCGGAAUUACUGGGCGUAAAGCGCACGCAGGCGGUUUGUUAAGUCAGAUGUGAAAUCCCCGAGCUUAACUUGGGAACUGCAUUUGAAACUGGCAAGCUAGAGUCCUGUAGAGGGGGGUAGAAUUCAGGUGUAGCGGUGAAAUGCGUAGAGAUCUGGAGGAAUACCGGUGGCGAAGGCGGCCCCCUGGACAAAGACUGACGCUCAGGUGCGAAGGCGUGGGGAGCAAACAGGAUUAGAUACCCCUGUAGUCCCUGUCUCUUAUACA